UACGGGGGGAGCAAGCGUUGUUCGGAUUUACUGGGCGUAAAGGGCGCGUAGGCGGCCACCGCAAGUCGACUGUGAAAUCUCCGGGCUUAACCCGGAAAGGUCAGCCGAUACUGCGGGGCUAGAGUGCAGAAGGGGCAACUGGAAUUCUCGGUGUAGCGGUGAAAUGCGUAGAUAUCUGGAGGAACACCGGUGGCGAAGGCGACGUCCUGGACCGGCAUUGACGCUGAGGCGCGAAAGCGUGGGGAGCAAACAGG
rnacentral:rRNA from 1 species